GGAAAAUAAGGCAGCCUCCUCUAAAUUAUAUCCAAAAAAAAAAAAAUUAAAAAGUUUUUUCUUUAGCCGUGUCCCUCCUGGGAACUGAUUUCUGCAUAGAUUUUUCUUUCCCUUUGGCCCUCCCCGGGAAUUGAUUUUUCCCAUUCAUGUCUUGUACAACUGGCGUGGAAAAUUUUGUUUUGCGGGAAAAAAUAUUUUACAAACACAAAACUGUUAAAAGUUGAGUUGGAAUCAUUUUCCUUGAGGAGA
rnacentral:misc_RNA from 1 species